CCUACGGGAGGCAGCAGUGGGGAAUAUUGGGCAAUGGACGCAAGUCUGAUCCAGCAACGCCGCGUGAAGGAAGAAGGCUUUCGGGUUGUAAACUUCUUUUAAUGGGGAAGAAAAGAAGACGGUACCCCUUGAAUAAGCCACGGCUAACGACGUGCGAGCAGCCGCGGUAAUACGUAGGUGGCAAGCGCUGUCCGGAUUUACUGGGUGUAAAGGGCGUGCAGGCGGGAAGAAAAGGCAGAUGUGAAAUCCCGCGGCUCAACCGCGGAACUGCAUUUGAAACUGUUUUUCUUGAGUAUGGGAGAGGUAAGCGGAAUUCCUGGUGUAGCGGUGAAAUGCGUAGAUAUUAGGAAGAACACCAGUGGCGAAGGCGGAUUACUGGACGACAACUGACGCUGAGGCGCGAAAGCGUGGGUAGCAAACAGGAUUAGAUACCCUAGUAGUC
rnacentral:rRNA from 1 species